rnacentral:lncRNA from 1 species
CCAAACACAUACACUUAAUAAAUUGAGUGCCUAACAUAGGUAAGAUCCUUCCAAACAGUCGUGUGAAGAAUGGAUUGGACAGGAGAGAUUGGAAGCACAAAGAUUAGUUAGGAAUCUAUUGCAAUACUCAAGACAAGCUAAAUAUUUACUGAGCUUUGUUAUGGCUUUGCUUUGGCCGUUUCAGUCCUGCUUAGUUUUGGGGUGGGGUUUGUGGAGCAAAGCUGGUAUUUGAGUUGUUCUGGCAAAUUCUUCUGAAUUACAGUGUUUACUUUCUUUUUCUGCUUUACCUUUCCUUUGCUUUCUUUGGUCAACCAAUUAAAAUAAAAGUUGUCUUCUAGAAACUUCAAUUUACUUAGAGUUUAGCUGGGAAACAAAAUACUAAGACAGGAAAAGUAAUAACAAAAUGGUAAAGCAGCAUAGGAGUUACCUGAGUGAGGCUUGGGAUUAUUAUGGAAAUCAAUGGAAUCUGACAGGAAGUUAUACAAGUUCAUGAGCCUAAGAGGUGACUGUGGGCUGUGUAGCUUGGGAAAUUUUUAUGAAGAGCUUGGCCUUGAAUGAUAGGCUGAGAACUAGAAAGACAUUCAUGGAAAGAGAAAUUCUAAGAAAGGCAGAGUUGCAAGAAAGUCUUAAUUUUCUUAUCUUUUCCUUUUAUCCCUCUGCUCUUCAAAGUACAGAGCUGUCUGGGUUAUGAGCAGGGUGGGGAGGUGUUAUCUCUGAAUGGGGGAGGUGAUUCCACUUCCUUUUUUCCCGUUCCUCAAGGCUUAGCCAGACCUGAAAUGCUAGUCCAACAUGUUGAAUUACUACUGUUUUCAAGUCUAGCCAAAGUUCAUGUUAACGAACCACUUAAAUUUCAAACAAGAACUAACAUUGAAUAUAUUUUAAUUUUAAAUUCAUAGGGAGUUUCAUUUUUCCUUCCAGAAAUAUUAUUUAAAUGGAAGAACUCUCUGUAUUCUUUAAAUUAUCCUGAAAGCCAUGAGGAAAAAUUAAAAUCCCUCACAUGAAAGGAGAGUUAGAGAAAGAUGUUUAUAAUUGAGGGCAGAUAGGUUUGCAACAUACUGAUUUGAGUGGUUUAUAUGCAUGAAUAUUUUCAUUUAUUCCUUGCAGUAGCCAUAUGAGGCAAUACUACAAGAUCAUCCCAAUUUUGUAGACAGAAAACUAUGGUAAAGUUACAUACUUAAUGUCCCACAAGUGAAAAAUGAUGGAGCCAGUUAUCAAACCAAAGUUGACUGACUCCCACUAAGUUCCUUGAGAAGUUAUGUAACUGAUCUGGUUCCUUGUCGGUAAAAUCUGGGAGGUUGAAUUAGAUAAUCUUGACAUUUGCCCUCAUGUUAAAAAUUAAGUGUUUGGUUCACAUCCUCAAUUCCUGCUCUUUUCACAUGACUCAAGCUUGAAGCUCUCUCUCCUCACUUCCAAAGGCACUAAUUCUCCCUUCACAGAAAUUUUGACAUUAAUUGUUCUGGGUUUUUGAAUGACUUAGAGGAUUAGAUUCUAGGUCAGUGAUGAAUGACUUCUGCCUUGGAUUUUCAAUCUUCCCAAUUUUUCCAAGUGAUAGAGGACCUAUAUUUAGGAUUCAGUUUAGAAAACUGACUGUAUUAUGACAAUCCUUAACAUGUUAGUGAAUAAGAAGGGGCUCCAGUUUUCUCACUGACAUUUAACAGGUAAUCUGCGUGAAUGUAUCUACCCUCACAAAAGACCAAAUGUAGCUAUUCUCAGGUUGAAUUUUUUUUUUAAGUGGACUGUAAACAAUUUUUCCUGAGUUGGUCUAAAUAAAAUGGAAAAUGGUCCCCCUUGCAUCAGCUCAUGACUUGUGUAUCAACGGUCUUGUAGGACUCGUGACUAUUCCUCGUUUCCCAGCUGCCUCAGUCACUGGAGAGAAGAGAGGUGAGGCCUGGUUUAGAAGCAGAAUAAAAACUGCUUGUUCCCCAGGAGUUUCGUGUCUAGGUUUUGACUGGAAGAAUUUCAACCCAGCUCUGAGUUCCAUGAUUGUCCAUGCCUUCUGAAAUGGGCGUGCAGCAGCUGCCCUCACUCACCACCACCACCUCCUCCACCAUCUCCACCUCCUCCAGACUUCAUGAAAGAAGUUAACUUUCAGAGGCUGUCUCUUAAGUACACACAUGGUGUAACAAUUAAAAUGUCGUAGGGACACAAAGUUUUCCAUUCCAGAACUAGAUGCAAAGGUCAAAGUGCCAAUACCCCCAAUCCCCAAGAAAGAGAGUAGCCCACUGAUGAUUCACUUAUAGAAAAGUGUAAAUGAGAGAGGAGCAGGACAGAGAGUCUUCUAGUGGAAAUCCCAAAAAGAGAAAAGACAGAAUUAGAGUUGAGAUCUACAGACAAAUUUUGUGUACUUAAUUAUUUUUGUUUAAUAAACUGAAAGAUUCCAUGCAUUUAGUGUUUUCUGUCUUAAAAAAAUUAAGUAUUUUUGGUCUUAAAUAACAAUAAAGAGGCAGCUAACAGAGCCAUUGAUUGAAUCUGUGAGACGCCAAGAGCUCUUUUGUUACUUCAUUGUCCAUGUUCCCCCCAUAAAUGUAAAACAUCUAGGAGUUCCCAUUGUGGCUCAGCGGUUAAUGAACCCAACUAGUAUCCAUGAGGAUGCAGGUUUGAUCCCUGAUCUUGUCCAGUGGGUUAGGGAUCUCGUGUUGCCAUGAACUGUGGUGUAGGUCACAGAUGCAGCUCAAAUCCCAGGAUGCUGUGGCUGUGGCUACAGCACCAAUUUGACCCCUAGCCAGGAAACCUCCAUAUGCUGUGGGUUCAGUCCUAAAAAGACCAAAAUAAAUAAAUAAAUAAAUAAAUAAAGCAUCUAAAUUUAGGGUUUUGUUUUGUUUUGUUUUGUUUUAAAAAGGACCCAAUAUGUACUUCUUUUAUGAUAUACAAUAAAUUACAGGAAAAACUUGGGAAGAAAGGUUGAGGUGAAGGUGGGUAUUUUGGGAUAGGAAGGUUUAUUUUCAGGAUUUAGGCCCUCAUUUUGUUCAAGCGGUGGUGUUCACAACACACAGGAAUAAGAGAGAAGUGUGGUCAGAAUGUGGCCUUGGAAUUCAGGGAUACACCGCUGAGGUGCAGGGAGGAUGGACCAAGAAGCAGAAUGGUCUCUUCUGGAAUGUGGUAAAAUGGAAUGUUGAUAAGGUCCUAAAGUUAGAAACUUUGGAAUGUUUUAUAUCUUCUAUAUUUGCCCUUUGUUUUUCUUUCUUCAUGUUUCGCUUUUCUUUUCUGCAGCAAUCUACGAAAAUUCUAAACCAUUUUUAUCACCUUUAUUUUUUUUCUCUUAUGUGUAUGAUUUAGCCUUCUGUAUUAAAAUGCAUCUAAGGGUGGUUCCUCUCUUCCAUUAUAUUAGCUCUGGAAAAUAUUUUUUGAGCCCACACUCUAGGUAAAUAUCCAUCUGGACUGAAACCCUUUGCCCCUGGAUGGUGCCUGUGGGUCUGCCAAGAGAAAUGCUGCUUGCAGUUGUUUUUUGGAAAACAGAAGGGUACUUCUGCUAGUUUCAAAAACUAAUAGUUAUUAAAUAGAGUUUUUCUGAGAGACUUCCAGGCAGUAGAUGAACCUCUUACAUUUUAUAGCAAUGUUUGACUUCACUGAAAGGCCAAGGAGCAAAGUUUGAAUAUAUUGGAGAAAGGUAAAUUAGUGCUAAAUACUCUAUAUAGGGUUAGGAUAUUGGUUAUGUAGGCCUUUGAUAAAUUAAAGAAAGGGGAAUGGAGCAAAGGAACAUUUAAAUUGAUUUUUCAAGUCAAUUUGAUUUGUGAAAGCUAGAGGAGAAUUUAAGUUCCAAUAUGAUUUAUUCACAAUGAUUGGAUUUAGUUCUCAUACCUAUGUAUAUGAUUCUAAAUAUUUUUAGUUGCAGCCAGAGUACAAAAGCCCUUGAAGGAGUUAAAUACAAAAUAAAAAUAUAUUUGAGCCUACCAUGCACAGUCGGCCUUUUAGCUCAUGUUACAUGAUGAGCAUCCUCUGGUUUACUUAUUAGCAUACACUAAAAUUCCACUGUGGUCUUUUCUCCAGAAACUUACCUGCUAAGAAUAAAAUACAAAUAGAUGUCUUAUUUCUUUAUUUGGCUGUUUCUUUCUUUCUUUUCUUUCUUUUUUUUUUUUUUUUGUCUUUUCAAAUAGAGGAUACCUAUUUCUAAUUUUUUGUCUGCAUUUUAGUUAAAAGUCUUCAUUUUAGUCUCAUUUUAGCUAAAAAUCUACAUUUCAGUCUCAAAAGAGAUUCAAAUGGAUAAAGAAGAGUUUCCAAUUCAAUGGCGUAAAUAGCCCACCACAUUGUCCAUCCUAUCUCCCCUGCUAAAAAUUUAGGGUUUCAACAUACUACUUUUCAAGUAAGAAGAAGCCUUCUCACUAGUAACAAACCACAAAUUCAGUUCUCUUAAGUGUCAUACAGAUUAGGACAAACACAAGGAGUCUAAGGGCAAUCCUAAGUACUUCUACAGAGAAGACACAUCUACCCUAAUCAUGAUGUUAGUUUGCAUCAAUCUACACAGUUCGGUACUGACAGGAAUCACCUUUUUCUAAAUCUUAAGUGAUGAGGAAAAUGAACAAGGUUGGGUGGAGCUCAGAAAUAAACACAAGUUACAUAGCAUGUACAGGCAUGAUUUGGACUGGUAUCCGUUAAUAUGAGCUGUGAGGGAGGAGGGGACAUAUUUGUAAACGAUUUGCAAACUGACUAUUGCAAAGAAUUGUCAAGCAACACAAUGAAAGAUGGACUAUAGUUAUACAAAUAAGCUGUGCCGAAUUUUUUUUCCCAUUGUUAAAUGUAAAAGACAGCAGAAUUGUUUGAUUUCUCGUGACUUCACAAUUCUCCCUUGUCUCAAGAGUAGUUUAAGUUAUCCAUCCACCCCAGAAUUCUGUAUACUAAGGGUGGAGUGUGGGCUUUGUGAUUUACUGAGUCCUCUGCUGGGCUUUUUUUUUUUUUUUGACUCAAUAUUUUGACUCACUAUGUGAAUUCUGACUAAUUGCUUGGUACCUUCAGGCCACUGGUUUCCCCCAGCAGCACAGUUAAGUGCUUACUUGCAAAAAUGCUUGUGUGUGAAAAUGUGUGUGAAAGACGCACUUUAAAAUAAUUCAUAACAGAAAGAAUACUUAUAAUUCUAACAUAUUUUAAAGAAAUGUGUUUAAAGCUUUUAGUUUUCAUGUGAGCUGUUAAAGUGACUUCAUGCCACCCAGACUGUUUCCUCUUCUUCUUCCUAGGGGUUAAAUUUAUGAUAAUUACAUGUAGCUUUGCAUUUAGCAUUUGAAGAGAUUUCAUCAAACUCUACUGGUUCCUACAGGAUAGGAUAGGCUCACUUUCACUUUUACAGCACUGUGAUGUUCUCAUGGAUGUGUUUGGUGAUUCCAGAUUUAUUAUUCUAAUUAGAGCUAAUGAGCAAAGAGCUUUGCAAGGAAAUUUGCCUUACUUGCUAAAGGAGGACAAAUUAUCAGCUUCCAAGAUACAUCACUUGUUUUUGAGACCCUUUAACUCACCAGCAGAGGCCUAUCCUAGCCAAGUUAAAUCAGUUUUCCGAGAAGGGCACUGACUGCUACCUUUAAAACAAGUAACUCUCCCGCAAUUUUAAGGAGUUUGCCUGGCAGAAUCCAAAUGAUUUGGAAUUCUUUUAAAUUAGUGUUCUCUUUAGCCACUUCUUCGACCGUCUCUUACUAUUUCUAAGACAGCAAAAUAUGAAGGAAACUACUGACUAGUCUCUCGUUACCACCCAAACAGAUUGGAAAUAAUUUAACGUAAAGAAAAUAUAGGAGUUCCCAUCGUGGCGCAGCAGAGACGAAUCCAACUAGGAACCAUUAGGUUGUGGGUUCGAACCCUGGCCUUGCUCAGUGGGUUAAGGAUCGAGUGUUGCCGUGAACUGUGGUGUAGGUCAUAGAUGCGGCUCGGAUCUGGCAUUUCUGUGGCUGUGGUAGCUCAGAUUAGACCCCUAGCCUGGGAACCUUCAUAUGCCACAGGUGCAGCGCUGAAAAGACAAAAAAAAAAAAAAAAAA